rnacentral:rRNA from 1 species
CCUACGGGUGGCUGCAGUGAGGAAUAUUGGUCAAUGGACGUGAGUCUGAACCAGCCAAGUAGCGUGAAGGAUGAAUGCCCUAUGGGUUGUAAACCUCUUUUAUAAAGGAAUAAAAUGAGGCACGUGUGCCUUUUUGUAUGUACUUUAUGAAUAAGGAUCGGCUAACUCCGUGCCAGCAGCCGCGGUAAUACGGAGGAUCCGAGCGUUAUCCGGAUUUAUUGGGUUUAAAGGGAGCGUAGACGGGUUUUUAAGUCAGUUGUGAAAGUUUGUGGCUCAACCGUAAAAUUGCAGUUGAUACUGGGAGGCUUGAGUACGGUUGAGGCAGGCGGAAUGCGUGGUGUAGCGGUGAAAUGCUUAGAUAUCACGAAGAACCCCGAUUGCGAAGGCAGCUUACUAAGCUAUGACUGACAUUGAUGCUCGAAAGUGUGGGUAUCAAACAGGAGUAGAUACCCCUGUAGUC